UUAGAAGAACGGGCAUCGAACCCGUAUUUAAGAAAUCAAAAUCCUUCGUAUUCCCAUUUUACUACCCCCU
rnacentral:tRNA from 1 species